rnacentral:rRNA from 1 species
GACGAACGCUGGCGGCGUGCUUAACACAUGCAAGUCGAACGGAAAGGCCCUGCUUUUGUGGGGUGCUCGAGUGGCGAACGGGUGAGUAACACGUGAGUAACCUGCCCUUGACUUUGGGAUAACUUCAGGAAACUGGGGCUAAUACCGGAUAGGAGCUCCUGCUGCAUGGUGGGGGUUGGAAAGUUUCGGCGGUUGGGGAUGGACUCGCGGCUUAUCAGCUUGUUGGUGGGGUAGUGGCUUACCAAGGCUUUGACGGGUAGCCGGCCUGAGAGGGUGACCGGCCACAUUGGGACUGAGGUACGGCCCAGACGCAUACGGGAGGCAGCAGUGGGGAAUAUUGCACAAUGGGCGGAAGCCUGAUGCAGCAACGCCGCGUGCGGGAUGACGGCCUUCGGGUUGUAAACCGCUUUCGCCUGUGACGAAGCGUGAGUGACGGUAAUGGGUAAAGAAGCACCGGCUAACUACGU